rnacentral:rRNA from 1 species
CCAAUAGCGUAUAUUAAAGUUGUUGCAGUUAAAAAGCUCGUAGUUGAAUUUCGGGAUUAGUACGUUGGUCGCGCCUUCGGUACGUACUGAUGUUACUGGUUCCUACCUUCUGAGGAACCGUCAUGUCAUUAAUUUGGUGUGGUGGGAAAUCAGGACUGUUACUUUGAAAAAAUUAGAGUGUUUAAAGCAGGCUCGCGCUUGAAUACAUUAGCAUGGAAUAAUGAAAUAGGACGUUCGAUCCUAUUUUGUUGGUUUCUAGGAUUGACGUAAUGAUUAAUAGGGAUAGUUGGGGGCAUUAGUAUUCAAUUGUCAGAGGUGAAAUUCUUGGAUUUAUUGAAGACUAACUACUGCGAAAGCAUUUGCCAAGGAUGUUUUCAUUAAUCAAGAACGAAAGUUAGGGGAUCGAAGACGAUCAGAUACCGUCGUAGUCUUAACCAUAAACUAUGCCGACUAGGGAUCGGAUGAUGUUAUUUUUAAUGACUCAUUCGGCGCCUUACG